UGACAAGGAAUAUCUGCCCCCCCAACCUUCUGGACUGUGAUCAUGAGAUGUCUGAGGACAAUGGUGCCCACCCCAACCUUGCAGGCAAUGAGCAUCCCUCACCUUCCCAAGAUGCUGGUGCUGCUGCCAAUCUUGUAGGCUGUGAGGGAGAAGAGGUUGAAGUUGAGGAGGGAUGCAGGAAACCAACAGGAAUGCAUAUUAUAAUAUUAGAGAAAAUCCCAAGGCUGUCUUCAAAUGUAUAAAAAUUCAGAAUGCCUUUUCCCUACUAAAUAUGCAUAUUUAUUUGCAGGUACGCUCAUGAACUGAAAGAGAAGACUGCCCCUGGCGUUUAAGGGACGCUCUCUAAAUGGGUGAACAGUACCAUCAGUGAAAUGUAUGCCUUCCUAGUCACGAUGCUGCUGAUGGGGCUAGUGAAGAAGGGCUCUGUGAGGGACUACUGGACCACUGACCCCAUGCUGCAGAACCCUUUUUUCCCAACCAUUUUCUCCCCGGACCGCUUCCUUGACUUGCUGAGAGCGCUCCACUUUGUGAACAACACCACUGCCAACCUCACCGACCCCCUUCACAAAAUGUUGAAUUUCCUUGGCAGCUUGACCACGGCAUUUGGAAGAGUGUUUGUGCCUCACAAGGACUUGUGCAUUGAUGAGUCUCUCAUGGAGACAGUCAACAGUCAUCUAGAGUCUACAAAGUAGAGUGUGUGGCUGUGUAUGUGUGUGUGCUUUUGUGUGUGUAGUAUCUACGGUAUGUCUUUGUGCUUGUGUGCGUGUGUGCGUGCCUCUGUGUGUGUGUGUGUGUGUGUGUGUAUGUGUGUGUAUUUACAGUGCCUCUCUAAGCUGUUCACAAUGGCCUUCAACCAGGUCAAACACUUCAUGAGUGAAGAGACACACACCGUAAUAUCAUCAUUCUGGGAUCUAACUGGCAGGAGGUGUUGCGUAAGCAUAUUGACCCGGAGCAGCUCCUGGUGGCGUACGGAGGAACCCUGACCGAGACUCCUACCUAACACUGGAGUAUGGCAUCACCACCCCCAGCAGCGUCCUCAGGUGGCAGUUUUCCAGUGAUGGAGCAGUCAUUUGCUUUGGGGUGUUCAUGCGGACCCAGGAGGGGGGUGGGGAUCAGAAGGUGGGGGGGUACAUGCUGCAGGUGUUGCCUAGUGAACGCUACAACGCACACAUGGUCCCAGAGGACCGCUCACUCACCUGCCCCGAGCCUGGAACCUACAUACUGCGUUUUGACAACACCUACAGCUUACUGCAGUCUAAGAAGAUCAGCUACACUGUGGAUGUUCUACUGCCAGACGGACAUGUCCAGAGUCCUAGGAGUAACAGAGGGGAUGGACGUCUGGAGUGACACACACACACACACAACACACACACACGAAUAUGAGAUCUGGGAUACUGAAGAUAGUAAUGUAAUGCUGUUUAAACACCACUGUUCUCAGUUAUGGGCAUUGAUAUGACAAGUAACCCACAGUUAUAACUUUUCCUAUUUUCUGUUGACACAAAUAAUAAUUUGUGUAAGCAUUUCAUACAAGAGUCAGAAUUGAUUUGAGUUAGGACUAUAUGGCUUUGUUUUGUUGUAGCCUAUUGUGUGAAUGUAAUACCAAUUUUCAGCACAGAAAAUACACUUUCCCGGUACUUUCUCAGUGUGUUUAGUGACUUCUGUGUUAUUUAGGCUUUAUUAGACCAAUGUAAAAAGACAAAUUGUGCAAAUAGGGAUAUAAUUAAGCAAUAACGCCCGAGGGGG